GGAAUCGCCAGGAGGUUCUUGUGGAGUGAAGGGAAGGUAACAGAAGAUGAAGUUCAGAAACUAGAGCAAGGUUGGUUGAGACAUUUUCUCAUCCUCACCAUCAUCACCACCCGCAUCGUCACCACCCCCCCUGCUGAAUACCUGCUGAGACUCAACGGGAAAUAGGCGGUAGUCCUCGCGCUCCUGAAACUCAGACUCUGCAAAGGAGAUGAUUAAAGGACAAUGUCACCUUUGCAUCCAGGGGAGUGAAUACAGAUUUGAAGGGAGGUCUGUGGUAGGAAGUAAACUCUGUAGCAGAGAGGACGAGGGAGACCACAUGGAAGAUGGGACGUGGAUAUACUUGCCAGGCUGGUACCAUAUACUUGCCAGGAUGAGAGGAAGCAGGCACUAAGAGAACCCUGAAAUCUCGUUCUGGGGCUUGCCUGGCGUCUUCUUUCAUUUCCCUCAAUCCACUCUCCACUAACUGAGCUGUGCUUACCCCUUCCUUUUCCUGACCACACCUCUGAACUUAGAGGUCACAGACACAGGUCGCAUCCGCAUUGCUGUGGCCGUGGUGUAGGCCAGCAGCAGUAGCUCCGACUUGACCCCUAGCCUGGGAACCUCCAUGUGCUGUAGGUGUGUUCCUAAAAAAGCAAAAUAAAUAAAUAAUAAAAUAAAAUUCAAAAGUUAGGGAAACAAUUGAACCUAAAUGUCUACUCAGGUAAUGGCCGUAACUCCCAGAGAGGAACUGUCCCCAGUGACUUUAAAAUGCAGUAAUUUGACUGCAUCCAUUCCUGGGUACAUUUUAAUGGUGAUUUAAAAAAAAAAAAUGAAACAGAAAAAUGUAACGUUUUUCCGUAAUGCUUUUGUUGGAAGUAGUGUUGGUAUUGUUAUUGCUAUUGUUGUGUGUAUUGAGAGAUAAAACAAAUGAGUAAUUGUGUCAGUUUUUAGGAAAAUUAGAAUUUUAAGGUGUGGGAGGGAAAAAACCACAGAUAUAAGAUCAGGGAGGUUAAUUAAAAAUGUUAUAGCCCAGAAUUGGAAGUAGCAUUGUUAGUAUAAAUCCAUUAUGUAUUUCAGCUUAAAAAUUCAUGUGUUCUGUUUCUAUUAAAAAGGCCCGGAAAUACGGACCAACCCAAUAGCCAUGAGCUUCCUUAGCAAAUAGAUUAGGAUCUCUAAUUACCAUUUUCCAGCAAAUGCAACCAAGCCUCCUUGGGAAAUGGUUGAUUCCAUGUCUGGAACAGGAAGUAUACCAGAUAAAUCUAUAAGAUCUUAUUAUAUCAAAAAGCAAGGAUGUUAUCUGGUGCUGUUAGGAUCAUGUCAUUUAGAGAUGCCAACAUCAAUAGGCCAAAGAUGAGACAAUUUUAGCAUCACAAUUGGACUAGUUACUUUAAUGGAUUGAAACACAUCACAUAUGUCUAUGUCCACAAGUACCUAAUGAUAGGAGAACUCAAAAUGACUUACUGGUCUCCUUUCAAAGGUGAUAGGAACCACUCUUUUUUGUUUGUUUGUUUGCUUUGUUUAUCCUUUUUAUGACCACACCUAUGGCUUAUGAAGUCCCCAGGCGAGGGGUUGAAUUGGAGCUGCAGAGGAGGCCGACGCCACAACUAUCACAGUGGUGGUGAAGAAACGAAGAAUGUCAAGACUGUCUGAAGAAAUGAUAGACUAUCAUGUAUUCUCAACUCUGACUUCAUGAGUGGACCUAGGCAAUGGCCAUGACCUUCUUAGGACAUUGGUCGCUAAUGUCGUGAAAAAGGGAAGACAGCAGACGUUGGUGUUUCCUAAGGGAAAUGGUCUCUUGGCGACAAUAUUGAGUCUGAAUCUGAUCAGGCCUCCAGGAGGUAACCACCUACUUUCGGGAAACACAGUAGAGAGGUGAACAUGUUCAGUGACACCACGGGAAUGAAGCCAGCCAGACCCGCAAGGUGAAGACGGGCCAGGUUAUGAGGGGGGCUCGCUGCGUUAGAAAACAUGUUGGAGAUAGGAGUUCCCAUCGUGGUGCAGUGAUUGACGAAUCCGACUGGGAACCAUGAGGUUGCGGGUUCGGUCCCUGCCCUUGCUCAGUGGGUUAACGAUCGGCGUUGCUGUGAGCUGUGGUGUAGGUUGCAGACUCGGCUCGGAUCCCGCGUUGCUGUGGCUCUGGCGUAGGCCGGUGGCUACAUCUCCGAUUCGACCCUAGCCUGGGAAUCUCCAUAUGCUGCGGGAGCAGCCCAAGAAAUAGCAAAAAGCCAAAAAAAAAAAAAAAA
rnacentral:lncRNA from 1 species